AUCCAAGUGACGAGUCCCAAACUGGACGAAAUGCGCAUCCUGAAU
rnacentral:hammerhead_ribozyme from 1 species